GAAGAGAGAGAAAGGACAGCGUUAGGGCCAGCGCUGAGAUGAUGUGAGAGAGCCAAGAGAGCCCACCUCCCCAUUGUCCCUACAGUUCACAUCCCACCCCUCAGCUGGCCAGGGUUCUGUGUUCCCCCUUGGAGAGGUGAUAGAUUUAUCCAUCAUUUGGAGAGCAUUGCCGGUGCUGAGGAGGAGGUGAGGAGAUUUGCAAAGAGGAACACAGAGGAGACACAGUCCUUGUCUGAGGAGGAGGAGGAUGCCCUGGCCAGUCCAGCCCCACCAUGCUUGGAAGUCUCCUUGGAGAGUCCUGAUGCAAACAACCACGUGGAAACCACCGGGACCAGAGACCUUGGUGCUCCAGAGUGGCACAGCUUGUGACUGCUAACAAAGGAUGGUCAGCUCAGGAAAUGGCAUUGUCCAGACGUGGAUUCUCAGGACUCAGGAGAAACGGGAAAGGAACAUGCAAUGCCCAGGGUGCUGCUGGAGCCUCUCUUUCCUAGAGGGCUCAGGAAAGGACAACAGCUGCUCUCCAAUUCUCAUGGAGCACACCAGCAGCCAAUGGGGAAAGUCUGUCCAGUUCUUCAUGGCUGAGGAAGUCCUGGGGACCUGAUGGGAGGAAGGCUGUGCAGUGACUCAUGUCUGAGAGCAGAAGCAUCUAGAGUAAGUCUUGCCAACCUCCCCAGGAUGAGAUUUUUCCUGAUAUUUUCCCUCAGGUAACUGCAUGGUCCCUCAAGGCCUGUCCCUGCUCAUUGAAGUGGGGUUGGACUAAAAAGUCCCUUCCAACUCCAAUUAUGAUUCUAAGAAGACUCCAACAGGGAUGUUCACCCCUGUGACUGAACAGCCACCCAGGGCAGAGCAAGGAAGAAAAAGCACUGGCUUCUUGCACAUGAAAAGGAGGCACAAGUUGAGCAGGACCUUAGGCUGGCCACAAACACAGAGCCUGGAACACUGUGGUAAAGUGAGCAAUGGCUGUAGGUAAGCAUUUAUAGAAUAGUAUAAUAUAUGGAUUAUUUAUAGCAUCUAAUGGCAAAGUCAGCAAUUGUCAUUUCAUGAAAUAGCUAAAAGAAAACCCAGAGUAAGUACCAAACACAGGAAGACAACUGCACCUGUGAAAUACAGGGACCAAGUGGAAAUAAAAGUGUGAAAGAGAAGAAAACCCACCAAAGUGUGAAAGAGAAGCUAAGAGGUGAAGGCAAAGUAACCCCACAGGAUAACAGGGAAUGUGCUGGGAGAAACUCUACAAAACAAAACAAUUCAGUGAAAAAGAGGUGAAAUUUUCCCUCAUCCCUUCACAGGAAGAUGGAGAACAUUGAUAAAUACUGAGGAAAAAGAAGAUAUCCCACCCACUUCAGCUCUGGCUUCAUUCACCAAGACAUGAAGGAAACUCUUCCCCCUCACCUCCAAAGCUGCCCAAACCACAGUGCCAUGUCACAACCUCUGCCCCCUGAUAAAAGUGCUCCCAUUUGAGACUCAUGGAUAAUUUAGGCCAAGUUUAUUAAAGACUAAUUUUUUACCUCUGUGAUGAUUAAAGCCUAACCCUGGGUGCUGUGUCGUGUUAAUAACUGCCUAAUAAAGCCUGGUUUAAGGUUUCAA